GUGUCAGCUGCUCAGGACUCCCUCCGGCAACUGACUACAAAGCUUUCAAAUGCCCCGUUGGCAAGGCCCCUGACUUUACUCAGCUGAAAACUGAGGAUCUCAUCUGGGAAGGGUCAGUUAAAAAAAAAUGACAGCAUUGCCCAAAGUAAACAAAGGGAACAACCACAACAAAAUCCUUCUCAGCGGCGUUUCUUUACAAUUCCCAGCCCAGCCCACCGGGGCUCUGGCUGAAGUCCCCACCCACUGCCUCCGAUGGCCCCAUGAGGCCUUGUCUGAGUAAGCUUAGCUGACCCGAGGACUGCAGCUUGUGAGCUGUGCCCUCCCCGCCCUCUCUCCCCUGAGCGCAGAGCUGUUGAGAUUGGAGUUUAAGGCUGCAGGCACGAAGACUGGCUCAUUCAUCAAGAUCACCGAACACAGAACACAGGAGGACCAGAGACUUGGCUUUUGAGGAUGGAAGAAUAUUCCUGAGCAUGAGAGAAGAACAAGAACAUGUGGAUCCAAGAUUCAGGUGCCUUCGAAAUGCUCCACCCGGGGACGGAGACCUUUGCCACAAACCAGACGUUAAGCCUCUCCAAAGUGUGUGGUAGAACUAAGGAAAAAGGCAUCAACCAACAGUCUUCUGAGCUGUGAUUGGCUCCCUCAAUAAUCCCAGGCAAAAAAAAAAAAAAUGAGAGCUCACUACUGCAGCCCAAGAUGCUUGACUUGAAGGCUUGAGCUUCAUGGACCCACGCGGCUUCCUCGAGAAGGUAACAUGGCCCUCGAGCCAGGGUUCCUAGCUAGCGCUGGAUCGUCCUGGAAUUUGACCAAGAUGACCGAAGUCAGGGGGAAGGAGCAAAGGGAGAAAAAAAAAAUAGUCAAGAAAAUACCGAAAAAACUGAACGACUGAAAAGGGAUUGAAGAAAUGCACAGACUCCACAAGUAGUGAAAAAUCAUCUGGGAAAUCCUGCGCUUUGGAGGAACUCCGUGGUUUCCUUGAAUUUCAUGGCAGUGCUUUUUAGCAAAUCAAAUCCGACCGUGCACCACAUACAAGGAUCCUAUGCUGACCGCAACACUGUAGCAUCUUCUGGACUCGGAAAAAGAAGGCUGCCGGUCUCUCCUGACAGGUAAUAUGAGUGAGCAUUUACCACACAGGUGAAGCGCACCUGACAGAAACAUUCUGCUGCACAAAUCCCACACUUGGGUUCUACAUGAGGCCGGGACUACUACAAUCCACACCAGCCUUCCGAUGCGUCUCAGUCAAUAUAGAAGUCACAGAAGGGGUUAUAUAAAUUACCUUUAGCUAUGAGAAAUGUAAAUGAAUUCUGUGUUUAGACUUGGAUACAUCCUUGGGGUAUUACGAAAUACUCUAAAAUCUGAAAACAAAAUUAAAAUAUUACUGGUCCCAAGCAUUUUGUAUGCUCAACCUGUAAUAAAAAUUCUCUAAACUGACA